GGCCCUGUGGUGUAGUGGUUGAAGUGCCGGUUGGGAACCGGGUGAGCGUUGGUUCGAAUCCGGUCGUAGUUC